rnacentral:misc_RNA from 1 species
AAGUCGUAACAAGGUUUCCGUAGGUGAACCUGCGGAAGGAUCAUUAACACAAUAGUAUCCAAACCUUUUGGAUCAACCCAACCUUAGUGAACUGUUUUUCUUAACUUUAAUCUUUUAACUAAACUCAAUCUGAUUUGUAUAAUGUCUGAUCUUUUUUCUCGAAUAACUUUGAGAAAAAUAAUUCUAACGUAAUACAACUCUUAACAACGGAUAUCUUGGCUCUC